rnacentral:rRNA from 1 species
AUGAAGCCCUUCGGGGUGUAAAGUUCUGUCAGUAGGGACAAUAAUGAUGGUACCUACAGAGGAAGCACCGGCUAACUAUGUGCCAGCAGCCGCGGUAAUACAUAGGGUGCAAGCGUUGUCCGGAAUUAUUGGGCGUAAAGAGUUCGUAGGUGGUAACUUAAGUCAAAAUUAAAAGACUGGGGCUUAACCCUGGUUCGGUUUUGAUACUGGGUUACUUGAGAUCGGGAGAGGUAAAGUGGAACUCACAGUGUAGCGGUGAAAUGCGUAGAUAUUGUGAGGAACACCAGUGGCGAAGGCGGCUUACUGGACCGAAUCUGACGCUGAGGAACGAAAGCGUGGGUAGCAAACAGGAUUAGAUACCCUGGUAGUCCACGCUGUAAACGAUGUACAUUAGGUGUUGAGGGUAUCGACCCCUUCAGUGCCGAAGCUAACGCGUUAAAUGUACCGCCUGGGGAGUACGGUCGCAAGACUAAAACUCAAAGGAAUUGACGGGGGCCCGCACAAGCAGUGGAUCAUGUGGUUUAAUUCGACGAUACGCGAAGAACCUCACCAGAACUUGACAUCCAGAGAAGGCCAUAGAAGUAUGGCUGUGCCUUCGGGAACUCUGUGACAGGUGGUGCAUGGUUGUCGUCAGCUCGUGCCGUGAGGUGUUGGGUUAAGUCCCGCAACGAGCGCAACCCUUGUCCUGUGUUGCUACAUUAAGUUGAGAACUCUCAGGAAACUGCCCGUGGAAAACGGGAGGAAGGUGAGGAUGACGUCAAAUCAUCAUGCCCCUUACGUUCUGGGCUACACACAUGAUACAAUGGUCGGUACAAAGGGCAGCAAAGCCGCGAGGUGGAGCUAAUCUCAUAAAACCGGCCCCAGUUCGGAUUGCAGUCUGCAACUCGACUGCAUGAAGUUGGAAUUGCUAGUAAACGCAGAUCAGCACGCUGCGUUGAAUACGUUCCCGGGCCUUGUACACACCGCCCGUCACACCAUGAGAGUCGGAAGUACCCGAAGCCGGUGAGCCAACCGCAAGGAGGCAGCCGUCUAAGGUAGAGCUGAUGAUU